UACGUAGGGGGCUAGCGUUGUCCGGAAUCAUUGGGCGUAAAGCGCGUGUAGGCGGUUCGGUAAGUCCGCUGUGAAAGUCGGGGGCUCAACCCUCGGAUGCCGGUGGAUACUGUCGGACUAGAGUACGGAAGAGGCGAGUGGAAUUCCUGGUGUAGCGGUGAAAUGCGCAGAUAUCAGGAGGAACACCGGUGGCGAAGGCGGGUCUCUGGGCAGUAACUGACGCUGAGGAGCGAAAGCGUGGGGAGCGAACAGG
rnacentral:rRNA from 1 species